ACAAUAUUUGGAAUGUCGGUCUACCGAACAAUUGCAUCCGUUUGGUGGAAUAUCCUCCCACUGUCAU
rnacentral:pre_miRNA from 1 species